CCUCUUGGGUACCCCCCCAAUGCCACCAUUGGUUCUCCUGGGACCCCCCCCAAAUUCUUCUUGGCCCCACUCAGCCCCUGGAUCCCUUCUUUGUGCCCCCCCAUACCUCUUCCCAUCCCCUCGAUGGCCCCCAGGCUCCUGUUCUCUCCCAACACCACCUGGGAGCUCCAGCCCCCCCAGUCUCUCUUGUACCCCCCAAGUCGACCACAUGGGUCCAUGCUAAGCCCCAUAGUUCAGCCCUGAAUGAACCCAACUCAACCCAACCUCAACCCAACCCCUCCCUCCUGAUGUCCCCCCCCUCUCCUCACCCUCUCUGCCGAUCGGGCAGCGCCGAAGAAGAUGGGCCCGAACGCCAACCACACCACACACGUGGUGUACAUGGCGAAUCCUAUGGGCUUGGCCUCGUUGAAGGUCUCGGGGACGCCGCGAGCCUUGACGGCAUAGACGGUGGUGGUGAGCAUGAGCAGCAGCGCGUGCGCCAGGCAGGCCAGCGUGGCGCCCUCGGCCAUGUCACAGCGCAGCACCCCCCGCGCGUCCUCGGGGUCCGGCGUGCGCCCCAUCUCAUAGUCCACCAGGGCGUGGGGGGGGCGCAGGAGCAGCCACAGCGCGGCCCCCACCACCUGCAUCCCGCUGAGGGCGAAGCCCCAGGAACAGCCUCCUCAUGGCACAGACCGCGGCCCCCGGCUCAGCCACCAUGAGGAAGGUGAUGGCAUAGACCAUGGCGAUGCCCACGAGCAGCACGUAGCUGAGCUCCCGCCCCGACGCCUUCACGAUGGGCGUCUCGUGGUGCUUGAUGAAGCUGCCGCUGCCGUUGGCGCCCUGGAACUGGAAGAUGUCGUAUCUGCCUGGAGCAUCCCCGUUCUCGUUGAAGCUCACAGGGGUCCCUGCGCUGCCUGCACCAGCACAGACCAGUACGGACCAGUAUGGACCAGUACGGACCAGUACCAACCAAUCCAGGCCCAGGAAUACCCAGAGGCGGCGCCCGUCGGGGGGGUCCAUGCCGGGGCAGAGCCCCCCCCCGGGGCAGAGCUCGGCCGCGAGGCUGUGCAGGGCACGUGCCAUGGCCAACACUGCAUCGAUGACGAACUGCACCUUCCCCUCCUGCUCGUAGGGUGAGUCCCGGCCGAUGCGCUCCCGCCCUGCCCCACACGUCUGGGCGCCCCCCAGCGGCACUCACCCGGCACCGAGGCCCGCUUGGGCAGGAUGGUGAUGGCUCCAUCGGCCGCCGGCUCCAGGCCCUGCACUGGGCCCAGCUUCGCCCCCCAGGAGUCAGAGCCCACCCAGGAGAAGUGACCGGAGAGGUUUAUACUGGUUCAUACCGGAUGUCGUCCUCGUUGGCGAACAGCACCACCCCCCGCGCCGUCGACGUCUCCAUCAGCCUCCCAAUGACCUUGUCGAACUCGCCUGGACGAGGCUCCCGCGGGAUCUUGAUGGAUUGGGCAAUGCAGAUCCCGCCUGCGCCGACCGGCACGCACCGGUAUGGACCGGUAUGGACCAGUAUGGACCAGUGUGUCCCAUGUAUCCCAGUGGCUCCACACCGGCCUCCCUGGAGCUCUGCACGAAGGCCUCGACGCCGCUCUCUCCGUAGCUGCCCUCGGAGGCCACGGUGGCCACGUAGCUCCAGCGCAGGGCACGCGCCACGGCCACCAUGGCCUGGGCCUGCUGCGAGUCCGGAGGCACCACCCGCGAGAAGAACCCAUAGCGAGCAGGGUCACUGAGCUCCGGAGCCGUGGACGCCAGGCACGUUGAGAGUGGGGACAUUGGCCACCACCAUGGAGAUGCCAUGGCCACCAUGAUGGAGACACCAUGGCCACUGUCAUGGAGAUACAUUGGCCACCAUGAUGGAGACGCCAUGGCCACUGUCAUGGAGAUACAUUGGCCACCAUGAUGGAGACACCUUGGCCACUGUGAUAGAGAUACAUUGACCACUGUGAUGGAGACACAUUGGCCACUGUGAUGGAGACACAUUGACCACCGUGAUGGAGACACAUUGACCACCAUGAUGGAGACACAUUGACCACUGUCAUGGAGAUACAUUGACCACCAUGAUGCAGACACAUUGACCACCGUGAUGGAGACACAUUGACCACUGUCAUGGAGAUACAUUGGCCAUGAUGAUUGAGACACACUGACCACCACAAUGGAGCCACCUUGACCACCGUGUUGCAGACAGCCCUUGCCCCCACCGCCCUCCCCUUCUCCCCCCCACCCCACUCACAUUGAAGAGCCGCAGCACAUUGGCCACCAUGAUGGAGACAGAGCUGGCCGAGGCCCCGAUGACCCCCACCAGGCGCUCGGGGGGGGGGCCGGUGGGGGGCGCUCCCAUCCGCACACCUCCCUUCGCCCUCGGCCGGGGGCAGGAGGCUCCGCACGAAGCCCAGCGCCUGCUCCAGGGCGUAGGUGUCCCGGGAACACGUGUCCAGGAUGCGGGCGCCCAGCGUCAGGUUGGGCAGCACCGCGGGGUCCCCAUUGACGCGGUCCAGGGCAUAGAGCAUGGCCUCCA